rnacentral:rRNA from 1 species
GGAUGAACCCGCGGCCUAUCAGCUAGUUGGUGGGGUAGUGGCCUACCAAGGCGACGACGGGUAGCCGGCCUGAGAGGGUGACCGUCCACACUGGGACUGAGACACGGCCCAGACUCCUACGGGAGGCAGCAGUGGGGAAUAUUGCACAAUGGGCGCAAGCCUGAUGCAGCGACGCCGCGUGGGGGAUGACGGCCUUCGGGUUGUAAACUUCUUUCAGCAGGGACGAAGCGCAAGUGACGGUACCUGCAGAAGAAGCA